rnacentral:rRNA from 1 species
UACGGGGGGGGUAAGCGUUGUUCGGAAUUACUGGGCGUAAAGGGCUCGUAGGCGGCCAACUAAGUCAUACGUGAAAUCCCUCAGCUUAACUGGGGAACUGCGUGUGAUACUGGAUGGCUUGGAUUCGGGAGAGGGAUGCGGAAUUCCAGGUGUAGCGGUGAAAUGCGUAGAUAUUGGGAAGAACACCGGUGGCGAAGGCGGCGACCUGGUCCGAUACUGACGCUGAGGCGCGAAAGCGUGGGGAGCAAACAGG